ACCCUUUUGGCCCUUUCCCUAAUCGGUCUUCUAAUUUUGUGGUGUCCCACAGUCGAUACCCCAGCUUUACCUCCUCGGGGUCCUGCUCCAGCAUGUCGGAUCCAGGGUUCAACACCGGUGGCUGGAGCAUAGCAGGAAGAGAAACAGAACACAUAUCUUCACCUUGGGGGGAGUCUUCACCAGAGGAACUCCGCUUUGGGAGUCUGACCUACAGUGACCCCCGUGAGCGGGAACGAGACCAGCAUGAUAAAAACAAAAG
rnacentral:lncRNA from 1 species